AAUAAGAUCAUUUUUAGUUUUUAGAUAUAAUACUUUGACUCUUCGUCUUAUUUGAAAUUUAUUUAUGAUUAAUAUUUUUAUUGUUACUAGAUAAUAAAACAUGAAUAAUACUUUACACGUGACUAAAUUUUUUAAGUUUUGUGUAAAUUUUUUCAAAUAAGAUGAAUAGUCAAACUUUAGAUACAGAAAA
rnacentral:pre_miRNA from 1 species